CUUGACUGGCUGGCCGUUGCUCGUCCGCAGGAGGCUCUCGUCGUCCGCUUCGAUGCCGAAGGCCACGAAGGGCCCCGUGGCGAUGUCCCCCCAGUACCCGCGCGCUGCCACGCGCUCCCCACGCUGGAAAAGGAGGGAGAGAGGAGGCAGGUAAUCUAGAGAUGAUUUGCGGUGUAUGGGACCAUGUGUACAGGCUAUUUGACUCGGGAAUCUGGGCUCUCAUCUUCAUCCCAGCUCACGUUGAACCUCCUGCGAGGCCAGAACUUCGCUCGGGACAGGGUCCGCAGCAGGUGCCGUCCAUCCACAGAGCCCAGAAGCAGCACAUCUAGCUCGGGGUUGCUGUGCACUGUAUCGGCCUGGGAGUCUGGGUCCACAGGAGGACCUGGCAAGAUGACAGCUGGCUGGGGCACCAUGGUGGUUGGCAGAGCGUCCACCGUAGCAUCCCCUAUAAAAAAUGGACUACAAAUCCCAGUAGGCGUUCCGCCCGUGGCCUAGGUUCUAAGGGGAGGUGUUUCCUCUGAGUAUUCUGGGAUUCGCAGUCCGCAGACAGGACCUCGGGGCUGCCCCUGGGAGCGCGCCCUCUGCCGCUGGAGCGUUGGAGAACGUUAGCGCCCCCCUUGCCACCGACGCUGGGACUACGAGCUCUAAAAGGCCGUCUGCUCAGGCUGGGAAGGCAGACGGUGUAUCAGACCUUGCGUGCUGGG
rnacentral:lncRNA from 1 species